GACGAACGCUGGCGGCGUGCUUAACACAUGCAAGUCGAACGGAAAGGCCCUGCUUUUGUGGGGUGCUCGAGUGGCGAACGGGUGAGUAACACGUGAGUAACCUGCCCUUGACUUUGGGAUAACUUCAGGAAACUGGGGCUAAUACCGGAUAGGAGCUCCUGCUGCAUGGUGGGGGUUGGAAAGUUUCGGCGGUUGGGGAUGGACUCGCGGCUUAUCAGCUUGUUGGUGGGGUAGUGGCUUACCCAGGCUUUGACGGGUAGCCGGCCUGAGAGGGUGACCGGCCACAUUGGGACUGAGAUACGGCCCAGACUCCUACGGGAGGCAGCAGUGGGGAAUAUUGCACAAUGGGCGGAAGCCUGAUGCAGCAACGCCGCGUGCGGGAUGACGGCCUUCGGGUUGUAAACCGCUUUCGCCUGUGACGAAGCGUGAGUGACGGUAAUGGGUAAAGAAGCACCGGCUAACUACG
rnacentral:rRNA from 1 species